GGUGUACCCAUGGUGUAGUGGUUAUCACAUCCGCCUAACACGCGGAAGGUCCCAGGUUCGAAACCAUGGGUACAACG
rnacentral:tRNA from 1 species